rnacentral:rRNA from 1 species
CCAAUUGAUUGAUGGUGCUUGCACCUGAUUGAUUUUGGUCGCCAACGAGUGGCGGACGGGUGAGUAACACGUAGGUAACCUGCCCAGAAGCGGGGGACAACAUUUGGAAACAGAUGCUAAUACCGCAUAACARCGUUGUUCGCAUGAACAACGCUUAAAAGAUGGCUUCUCGCUAUCACUUCUGGAUGGACCUGCGGUGCAUUAGCUUGUUGGUGGGGUAACGGCCUACCAAGGCGAUGAUGCAUAGCCGAGUUGAGAGACUGAUCGGCCACAAUGGGACUGAGACACGGCCCAUACUCCUACGGGAGGCAGCAGUAGGGAAUCUUCCACAAUGGGCGCAAGCCUGAUGGAGCAACACCGCGUGAGUGAAGAAGGGUUUCGGCUCGUAAAGCUCUGUUGUUAAAGAAGAACACGUAUGAGAGUAACUGUUCAUACGUUGACGGUAUUUAACCAGAAAGUCACGGCUAACUACGUGCCAGCAGCCGCGGUAAUACGUAGGUGGCAAGCGUUAUCCGGAUUUAUUGGGCGUAAAGAGAGUGCAGGCGGUUUUCUAAGUCUGAUGUGAAAGCCUUCGGCUUAACCGGAGAAGUGCAUCGGAAACUGGAUAACUUGAGUGCAGAAGAGGGUAGUGGAACUCCAUGUGUAGCGGUGGAAUGCGUAGAUAUAUGGAAGAACACCAGUGGCGAAGGCGGCUACCUGGUCUGCAACUGACGCUGAGACUCGAAAGCAUGGGUAGCGAACAGGAUUAGAUACCCUGGUAGUCCAUGCCGUAAACGAUGAGUGCUAGGUGUUGGAGGGUUUCCGCCCUUCAGUGCCGGAGCUAACGCAUUAAGCACUCCGCCUGGGGAGUACGACCGCAAGGUUGAAACUCAAAGGAAUUGACGGGGGCCCGCACAAGCGGUGGAGCAUGUGGUUUAAUUCGAAGCUACGCGAAGAACCUUACCAGGUCUUGACAUCUUGCGCCAACCCUAGAGAUAGGGCGUUUCCUUCGGGAACGCAAUGACAGGUGGUGCAUGGUCGUCGUCAGCUCGUGUCGUGAGAUGUUGGGUUAAGUCCCGCAACGAGCGCAACCCUUGUUACUAGUUGCCAGCAUUAAGUUGGGCACUCUAGUGAGACUGCCGGUGACAAACCGGAGGAAGGUGGGGACGACGUCAGAUCAUCAUGCCCCUUAUGACCUGGGCUACACACGUGCUACAAUGGACGGUACAACGAGUCGCGAACUCGCGAGGGCAAGCAAAUCUCUUAAAACCGUUCUCAGUUCGGACUGCAGGCUGCAACUCGCCUGCACGAAGUCGGAAUCGCUAGUAAUCGCGGAUCAGCAUGCCGCGGUGAAUACGUUCCCGGGCCUUGUACACACCGCCCGUCACACCAUGAGAGUUUGUAACACCCAAAGUCGGUA